GAUGAACGCUGGCGGCGUGCCUAAUACAUGCAAGUCGAGCGAACAGAUAAGGAGCUUGCUCCUUUGACGUUAGCGGCGGACGGGUGAGUAACACGUGGGUAACCUACCUAUAAGACUGGAAUAACUCCGGGAAACCGGGGCUAAUGCCGGAUAACAUUUAGAACCGCAUGGUUCUAAAGUGAAAGAUGGUUUUGCUAUCACUUAUAGAUGGACCCGCGCCGUAUUAGCUAGUUGGUAAGGUAACGGCUUACCAAGGCAACGAUACGUAGCCGACCUGAGAGGGUGAUCGGCCACACUGGAACUGAGACGCGGUCCAGACUCCUGCGGGAGGCAGCAGUAGGGAAUCUGCCGCAAUGGGCGAAAGCCUGACGGAGCAACGCCGCGUGAGUGAUGAAGGUCUUCGGAUCGUAAAACUCUGUUAUUAGGGAAGAACAAAUGUGUAAGUAACUGUGCACGUCUUGACGGUACCUAAUCAGAAAGCCACGGCUAACUACGUG
rnacentral:rRNA from 1 species